rnacentral:rRNA from 1 species
GUAGGGGGCAAGCGUUGUCCGGAUUUAUUGGGCGUAAAGCGCUCGCAGGUGGUUCGUCGCGUCGUGCGUGAAAGACCCCGGCUCAACUGGGGAGGGUCGUGCGAUACGGGCGGACUGGAGGCCAGUAGGGGGAUGCGGAAUUCCGGGUGUAGUGGUGGAAUGCGUAGAGAUCCGGAGGAACACCAGCGGCGAAGGCGGCAUCCUGGACUGGUCCUGACACUCAGGAGCGAAAGCGUGGGGAGCGAUCCGGAUUAGAUACCCGGGUAGUCCACGCUGUAAACGAUGAGUACUAGGUGUCGGGGGUAUCGACCCCCUCGGUGCCGCAGCUAACGCGAUAAGUACUCCGCCUGGGGAGUACGGCCGCAAGGCUA